rnacentral:rRNA from 1 species
AGGAAUAUUGGUCAAUGGACGAGAGUCUGAACCAGCCAAGUAGCGUGAAGGAUGAAGGUUCUAUGGAUUGUAAACUUCUUUUAUACGGGAAUAAACGGAUCCACGUGUGGAUUUUUGCAUGUACCGUAUGAAUAAGGAUCGGCUAACUCCGUGCCAGCAGCCGCGGUAAUACGGAGGAUCCGAGCGUUAUCCGGAUUUAUUGGGUUUAAAGGGAGCGUAGAUGGGUUGUUAAGUCAGUUGUGAAAGUUUGCGGCUCAACCGUAAAAUUGCAAUUGAUACUGGCAGUCUUGAGUACAGUUGAGGUAGGCGGAAUUCGUGGUGUAGCGGUGAAAUGCUUAGAUAUCACGAAGAACUCCGAUUGCGAAGGCAGCUUACUAACCUGUAACUGACAUUGAUGCUCGAAAGUGUGGGUAUCAAACAGGAUUAGAUACCCUGGUAGUCCACACGGUAAACGAUGAAUACUCGCUGUAGGCGAUAUACAGUCUGCGGCCAAGCGAAAGCAUUAAGUAUUCCACCUGGGGAGUACGCCGGCAACGGUGAAACUCAAAGGAAUUGACGGGGGCCCGCACAAGCAGUGGAGUAUGUGGUUUAAUUCGAUGAUACGCGAGGAACCUUACCCGGGCUUAAAUUGCAACCGAAUAUGGCGGAAACGCUAUAGCUAGCAAUAGCGGUUGUGAAGGUGCUGCAUGGUUGUCGUCAGCUCGUGCCGUGAGGUGUCGGCUUAAGUGCCAUAACGAGCGCAACCCUUGCCGAUAGUUACUAACAGGUUAUGCUGAGGACUCUGUCGGGACUGCCAUCGUAAGAUGUGAGGAAGGUGGGGAUGACGUCAAAUCAGCACGGCCCUUACGUCCGGGGCUACACACGUGUUACAAUGGGGGGUACAGAGGGCUGCUACCACGCAAGUGGAUGCCAAUCCCAAAAACCCCUCUCAGUUCGGAUUGAAGUCUGCAACCCGACUUCAUGAAGCUGGAUUCGCUAGUAAUCGCGCAUCAGCCACGGCGCGGUGAAUACGUUCCCG